UGCCAGCCGCCGCGGUAAUACGGAGGGAUCGAACGUUAAUCGGAAUUACUGGGCGUAAAGCGCGCGUAGGUGGCUUGUUAAGUGGGAUGUGAAAGCCCCGGGCUCAACCUGGGAACUGCAUUCCAAGCUGACAAACUAGAGUACGAUAGAGGGGGGUAGAAUUCAGAGUGUAGCGGUGAAAUGCGUAGAUAUUCUGAGGAAUACCGGUGGCGAAGGCGGCCCCCUGGAUCUGUACUGACACUGAGGUGCGAAAGCGUGGGUAGCGAACAGGAUUAGAUA
rnacentral:rRNA from 1 species